AGAAACACAAAAAAAAAAAAAAAAAGGGAAGGGGGAGAGCGGCGGCGGCAGCGUCCGGGGAGAGGUUGGUCGCCGGAGGGGUUGAUCGCCGGAGAGGAGACCGAGAUCCGGCCGGCCACGGAGGAAGUUUUCUUCGGUGAAGACCUCCCGCAAACGGGAGAAAAAGCUUUGGACCCGUGCGUGUGCUCACGGAUUUCCUCCUCCGAUUGCUCGCCGGAAAGGCCGCCGGAGCACGCCGUCGGACCGAGAGGAAGAGUCGGCGGAGCCAGGAGGUUUUGAUCAGGGGACUCAGCACCCCAGCGCGUAGGUUGCGAUUCAGACUGUGUUUGAGUCAGUCUACAAUUUCUGUAAGAAUCCCUACAUCUGAGCACUUCUAUGCGUAUAUUGAUUUAUCGUUGGAUUUAUUUACGGUUUUGAUGUUAUUGCAUGUGAGUUGAUAUGAUACAUAUGAGACGAAUUUUUAUCAACAUAUUUUCAUUAUUAUGUUGUUAUUGUUUAUGAGUUGAUGCGGCACCUAUGAGGCGUGCAUGUUGUUUAUAAUGAAAAUAUUGAGAUAAAUUCAUUUGG